UUCCUUUUUUUUUAUUUAUUAUUACUUAAGUCCCAAAUAAGCGUGUUUAUUAUGUCAAGUUUAAUUCUCUCAGGCUUCGUUUGGUUCGGAUAUAAGCAAAAGUUACUUAUUCUAGGGAUAUGUACAAAUUCAGAUAUAAACAAAAACUAGACUAUUUUUGCGUUUGCAUGAAAAUUGAUUGUUUCCGGAAAUAAAAAAAAAUAACGUUUAGAUAGAUAAGAUGAAAUAAGAAAAAUAGUGGAUAGUUAUAAAUAAAAAAAUAAUAUUAUUCCUCUUGUUAUAUUUGAAUUUAAAUUUUUAAAUUUAAAAUUUUAACUUCUAAAGUUUAAAAUCUGAAAAUAAAAUUUAAAAUUAAUCUCUCAAAUUUUGAAUUUCAAAUUUUUAAUUUUUAUAUUUUAAAUUUUAAAAUUUUAGAAAUUAAAUUUUAAAUUUUAGAUUUUAAAUCAAAUUAAAAUUUGAAAAAUAUAAAAUAUCAAAUUAAAAUUCAAAAUUUAAAAAUUAAAAUUUAAAAU
rnacentral:lncRNA from 1 species